rnacentral:lncRNA from 1 species
AAUCACAACCUGACACACUCAUUUUUCAAAUUCUAGCGUUUGACGCCUAUUUCUCUUUAUUUUAUUUUCAUUUUAUUUACUUUUUGAUUUCUUAUUUAAUUCUGAUUGGUCCUUAAUUCAUUUUUCAUCCAAUUUUUUUACAAAAAGUCCAUAAAACUAUUUUGCAUCUCAUAUAUUUUUUCAGAAUUUUUAAAAUCAUUUUAGUAUUUAAUUGCUAUUUUACUCUCUUUUCUU